rnacentral:lncRNA from 1 species
GACUUCUCGAGUCGUUUAUUGAAACCACCAUGAGGGCUCAGUGUAGGCAGGUUGAAAAGAGGCCCAUUUGCCCUCUCAGUGGAGACGUGGCUUAGGACUUUUUGAAGAAUAUUGCCUGUUCAAUUAGAAGAACAUGACAAGAGUCACCCAGUGGAGGUUGGAGAAUUCAUCUCCAUUCUCGAAACCUUGGUAAUGCCUUCCUAGGCAGCAAAUUUUAUGUUGCAUUCCAGCAUUCCUAGAACAUUUACUGCCAGAAGUUUUAAGAAAACAUGCUUACUAAGCUUCAGGGUUUUUAGGAAUCCCAUCUGGGUCUACUUGUUUAUCCCUACGUGGAGACUGUUGGUGUAUCAACCUAAAACACCUCACUAGAAGCCUGGGCAGAGCCUGGUUCUAGAAUUUUUGCCAGGCUGUGGGGGUUCAGGAAAGGCUCAGUAGUGUAGUUUCAUAGCUUGGGAAGACUGUGCCUUGAGACAAGCUAGAUGGGAGCAAAGACAGAUGCAAAGAGAAGGUGAAAGGAUGGCACAUUAAGAGAUACAAGGGAAGGACAAAGAGUAGACAUACAGAGC